UACGUAGGGUGCGAGCGUUAAUCGGAAUUACUGGGCGUAAAGCGUGCGCAGGCGGUGAGCUGUGUCCGAUGUGAAAGCCCCGGGCUUAACCUGGGAAUGGCAUUGGUGACUGCACGGCUAGAGUGUGUCAGAGGGGGGUAGAAUUCCACGUGUAGCAGUGAAAUGCGUAGAGAUGUGGAGGAAUACCGAUGGCGAAGGCAGCCCCCUGGGAUAACACUGACGCUCAUGCACGAAAGCGUGGGGAGCAAACAGG
rnacentral:rRNA from 1 species